GAUGAACGCUAGCGGCAGGCUUAAUACAUGCAAGUCGAGGGGCAUCAAGGUACACGAAAGUGUAUUGUUGGCGACCGGCGGACGGGUGAGUAAUAGGUAGGUAACCUACCUCAUACUGAGGCAUAGCUGGGAGAAAUUCCAGGUAAUUCCUCAUGAGGUUAUAUGACACAUGUGAUAUAAUCAAAGGUAUCGCAAGGUACUGGUAUGAGAUGGGCUUACUGACCAUUAGCUAGUUGGUGAGAUAAGAGCUCACCAAGGCGAAGAUGGUCAGGGGUUUUGAGAGAGAGAUCCCCCACAUUGGAACUGAGAUACGGUCCAGACUCCUACGGGAGGCAGCAGUAGGGAAUAUUGGGCAAUGGGCGCAAGCCUGAUCCAGCCAUGCCGCGUGAGUGAAGAAGGCCCUCGGGUUGUAAAGCUCUUUUGUCCGGAAAGAAAAGCGCCGGGUUAAUACCCUAGUGUCCUGACGGUACCGAAGAAUAAGCACCGGCU
rnacentral:rRNA from 1 species